AGAGUUUGCUCCUGGCUCAGGACGAACGCUGGCGGCGCGCCUAACACAUGCAAGUCGAACGAGCGAGAGAGAGCUUGCUUUCUCAAGCGAGUGGCGAACGGGUGAGUAACGCGUGAGGAACCUGCCUCAAAGAGGGGGACAACAGUUGGAAACGACUGCUAAUACCGCAUAAGCCCACGACCCGGCAUCGGGUUGAGGGAAAAGGAGCAAUCCGCUUUGAGAUGGCCUCGCGUCCGAUUAGCUGGUUGGUGAGGUAACGGCCCACCAAGGCAACGAUCGGUAGCCGGACUGAGAGGUUGAACGGCCACAUUGGGACUGAGACACGGCCCAGACUCCUACGGGAGGCAGCAGUGGGGAAUAUUGCACAAUGGGGGAAACCCUGAUGCAGCGACGCCGCGUGGAGGAAGAAGGUCUUCGGAUUGUAAACUCCUGUUGUUGAGGAAGAUAAUGACGGUACUCAACAAGGAAGUGACGGCUAACUACGUGCCAGCAGCCGCGGUAAAACGUAGGUCACAAGCGUUGUCCGGAAUUACUGGGUGUAAAGGGAGCGCAGGCGGGAAGACAAGUUGGAAGUGAAAUCUAUGGGCUCAACCCAUAAACUGCUUUCAAAACUGUUUUCUUGAGUAGUGCAGGGGUAGGCGGAAUUCCCGGUAUAGCGGUGGAAUGCGUAGAUAUCGGGAGGAACACCAGUGGCGAAGGCGGCCUACUGGGCACCAACUGACGCUGAGGCUCGAAAGUGUGGGUAGCAAACAGGAUUAGAUACCCUGGUAGUCCACACCGUAAACGAUGAUUACUAGGUGUUGGAGGAUUGACCCCUUCAGUGCCGCAGUUAACACAAUAAGUAAUCCACCUGGGGAGUACGACCGCAAGGUUGAAACUCAAAGGAAUUGACGGGGCCCGCACAAGCAGUGGAGUAUGUGGUUUAAUUCGACGCAACGCGAAGAACCUUACCAAGUCUUGACAUCCUGCGACGCACAUAGAAAUAUGUGUUUCCUUCGGGACGCAGAGACAGGUGGUGCAUGGUUGUCGUCAGCUCGUGUCGUGAGAUGUUGGGUUAAGUCCCGCAACGAGCGCAACCCUUACUGUCAGUUACUACGCAAGAGGACUCUGGCAGGACUGCCGUUGACAAAACGGAGGAAGGUGGGGAUGACGUCAAAUCAUCAUGCCCUUUAUGACUUGGGCUACACACGUACUACAAUGGCGUUAAACAAAGAGAAGCAAGACCGCGAGGUGGAGCAAAACUCAGAAACAACGUCCCAGUUCGGACUGCAGGCUGCAACUCGCCUGCACGAAGUCGGAAUUGCUAGUAAUCGUGGAUCAGCAUGCCACGGUGAAUACGUUCCCGGGCCUGUACACACCGCCCGUC
rnacentral:rRNA from 1 species